rnacentral:rRNA from 1 species
ACCAGCCAUGCCGCGUGAAGGAUGACGGCCCUAUGGGUUGUAAACUUCUUUUAUAGAGGAAGAAACUUGUCUACGUGUAGACAACUGACGGUACUCUACGAAUAAGGAUCGGCUAACUCCGUGCCAGCAGCCGCGGUAAUACGGAGGAUCCAAGCGUUAUCCGGAUUCAUUGGGUUUAAAGGGUCCGUAGGCGGGUCUUUAAGUCAGUGGUGAAAGCCGACAGCUCAACUGUCGAACUGCCAUUGAUACUGGAGACCUUGAGUACAAAUGAAGUAGGCGGAAUGAGUCAUGUAGCGGUGAAAUGCAUAGAUAUGACUCAGAACACCGAUUGCGAAGGCAGCUUACUAACAUGUAACUGACGCUGAGGGACGAAAGCGUGGGGAGCGAACAGGAUUAGAUACCCUGGUAGUCCACGCCGUAAACGAUCAUCACUCGCUGUUGGCGAUAUACUGUCAGCGGCCAAGCGAAAGUA